UAAGGAUCAUCAGUUCCUGGGCCUUUUGCCGGAGCACCGUAUUCAGAGACCCAGAGUACCUGCAUUUACAGCAAAUUACAGAGUGACUUAGUCUGUGCAUUCAUCUAAAGCAGGUUAAAAACACACAUCACAUUACAGAGUGACUUAGUCUGUGCAUUCAUCUAAAGCAGGUCAAAAAAUAUACACAUCACAUUACAGAGUGACUUAGUCUGUGCAUUCAUCUAAAGCAGGUCAAAAACACACAUCACAUUACAGAGUGACUUAGUCUGUGCAUUCAUCUAAAGCAGGUCAAAAACACACAUCACAUUACAGAGUGACUUAGUCUGUGCAUUCAUCUAAAGCAGGUCAAAAACACACAUCACAUUACAGAGUGACUUAGUCUGUGCAUUCAUCUAAAGCAGGUCAAAAACACACAUCACAUUAGAGUGACUUAGUCUGUGCAUUCAUCUAAAGCAGGUCAAAAACACACAUCACAUUACAAGAAUCUUCUGACAUCUUCAGAAGAUCCACUACAAGCAAAACCAACUAAGGAGAAGUGUGAGCGUAGGAAAUAAGCCUGAAAUUCAGCCCGGUUUUGUGUUAACAUCCCACUCUGUGUCAUAUAGAGGUGGCAGGUAGCCUAGAAAUUAGAGCGUUGGGCCAGUAACCGAAAGGUCGCUGGUUCGAAUCCCUGAGCCGACAAGGUAAAAAAACACACACAAAAAAUGCCGAUGUGCCCUUGAGCAAGGCAUGUGAUCCUAAUUAAUCACGUCAGUCGCUCUGGAUAAGAGCGUCUGCUAAAUGACUAAAAUCUCAAAAUGUGACACCGAGUGGAAUGUUAGGAC